rnacentral:rRNA from 1 species
UACGGAGGGGGCUAGCGUUGCUCGGAAUUACUGGGCGUAAAGCGCACGUAGGCGGCUUUGUAAGUUAGAGGUGAAAGCCCAGGGCUUAACCCUGGAAUUGCCUUUAAGACUGCAUCGCUAGAAUCGUGGAGAGGUGAGUGGAAUUCCGAGUGUAGAGGUGAAAUUCGUAGAUAUUCGGAAGAACACCAGUGGCGAAGGCGACUCACUGGACAGGUAUUGACGCUGAGGUGCGAAAGCGUGGGGAGCAAACAGG